AUUGUAUUGUGGUACGCAAACAGGACUAGAUACCAGGAAUGUCCAAAAAACUUUUUAUUGAAAGCUUGCUCCGUACUCACGUAUUUCAAGAACACCCUAAGAGGUAGGUACACCUAGGUGAAGGUAAAAAUACACACAAGUGAAUAUCGAUUGUAGUAUAGCUUACUUCCUUCUUCACACCAUGGUAUUUCAAUGGCCCUCCAUCGCACUAAAUGAACGCUUAUUGACAAGUCUUCAUCGAAUACACACAAAAAAAUAAAAAAAUGAAGGAAAAAAAACACGUAACUUUAAAUUUGGGACGCAUAACAAAUACCAAUUCUUUAUUUGAUAUGAGGAAAUAUGCCUUCAUCGCCUAAGCGAUGAUUAAAUUAAUCAUCACCAUAGAGAUGAUGAAUAAAAUAACUCCCUUAAACUGCAAGUUCGGUAAUGUGUUAACUCCUACUACUGUGCUACUCCUACUACGUAGCUAUAACGUAAUCGCGCGCAGCAAACGCAUAGAACGCAUCCGAUGCACCCAAAAAUAGUAUAAAUAGAGCAACACGGACGCGAGCCAAACUAGAUGUAUUUUAAUCAAGUUGAACUUGAACAAAGCUCGUCGCGAAGAGUGGUUCUUGGUCAAAAAGUGUACUUAUGUAGAUACGAGUAGAUGAAGUCCUCUACGGGGAUGCUCAUCUCCUUUUAUUCAGUCUUCGCCCACUUUUAGUGGUUAAAAUGUUUCUCGCUUCGUGAUUUAAAUUAUCGUAUACGUAAUUAAUCGCGUUCACACCGGAUAUCAUCCGAUUAUGCUGGCCAUCGGAGAUAGUCCUAGAAGAAUAGGUACCUCGUGUAUUACAUUGCUGUCGACCGGCCUAGUAUUAGUGAGCCACCUUGAAAGAGACAGUAGAAGCGGACAUUAUGUGAACCUGGAUUACGUACACUGGUUCGAAUAUUUCAAUUUAACUCAAUAGAUUUCCAAACCGGGGCACCUCAGAAGGUGCUGGAGCAGUUCAUUUUAGGAUGUUGAAUGGGUGUAGUUUAAGCACUUCAUACUUGUAAAUACUGACUUACUUAUUUUCGUUCUCUAAUAACAAACAUUUGUAUCCACAUCCACUUACCUGAAACAAAAGAAAAAAAUGCAAAUAAAUUAUCGAUUGGUGCAUUGA